AUUGGUGCUGCAUGCUUUUCCACCUCUGCUCCUGGCGAGAAAAGUCUUUCUCCAAUUUCUGGUCUCUAUUUGCUUGAGACUGCAACAGAGAUGUAACCAACCCCGCCAGUUCCUCCAGCCUGUCCACAGGCUUUGCUGCUGCCAUAGCCUCCAGAUCAGAUGAAGCUGAAGCCCCUUCAGGCUCUUCCUCUUGGUUUGCCUUUUUUCCACCUCUAGUCAUCAUCUCACUGUAGCAUGGAGAUCCCACUUCUGACACCAACUGUUAGCAGGCGACCUCUCGGCUGGAUUUUCAGUGAGGCAAUGAACUUGUCAGGCAGAGUAAAGUUGAGGCAUCAACAGGUUUAUUAGGCUCCACAGCAUUCAGUCUCCAUCAAACACACAAUCUCUAGCUUAAAUAGACACAGCUGAUGGACUAAACCAUUUACAAUAGAAAAUUAACUCCUCACUUCCAUCAAAAAAUACACAUUUAAAUCAAAUAUCUACAAACAUACACUUAAGGUUAUUUUUUUAUAAACAUUUUCUGAUUUAACUUGCACCCAAACAGUAUAGAAAUCCCACAAACUAUGUGCACAACUCCCCCUGUAUUCUCCAUGGCCUCUCCCAGAACCUAUAAAUGGUGUCUGGACCCCCGGGGAUGCAUUUGUCCAAACACCCUGGAGAGGACACAGAAAAGACAGACAACCACCCCAAUUGCUAAUGGAGAGCAGCUGUGGAGAGCCUUGAACAAAGGGCUACAUGCUAAUUAUUAAAAUACCCAAUAAAUAUUCAAUAAAUAUUUUAAAAACCU